rnacentral:rRNA from 1 species
GGAGUUAGCCGGUGCUUCUUCUGCGAGUAGCGUCACAGAUGUAAGGUAUUAACUUACACCCUUUCCUCCUCGCUGAAAGUGCUUUACAACCCGAAGGCCUUCUUCACACACGCGGCAUGGCUGCAUCAGGGUUUCCCCCAUUGUGCAAUAUUCCCCACUGCUGCCUCCCGUAGGAGUCUGGGCCGUGUCUCAGUCCCAGUGUGGCUGAUCAUCCUCUCAGACCAGCUAGGGAUCGUCGCCUAGGUGAGCCUUUACCUCACCUACUAGCUAAUCCCACCUGGGCUUAUCCAUCAGCGCAAGGCCCGAAGGUCCCCUGCUUUCCCCCGUAGGGCGUAUGCGGUAUUAGCAGUCGUUUCCAACUGUUAUCCCCCACAAAUGGGCAAAUUCCCAGGCAUUACUCACCCGUCCGCCGCUCGUCAUCUUCAAAGCAAGCUUUUGAAAUGUUACCGCUCGACUUGCAUGUGUUAGGCCUGCCGCCAGCGUUCAAUCUGAGCCAGAAUCAAACUCUGA